CUCGUAGGCGGUUCGUCGCGUCCGGUGUGAAAGUCCAUCGCUUAACGGUGGAUCCGCGCCGGGUACGGGCGGGCUUGAGUGCGGUAGGGGAGACUGGAAUUCCCGGUGUAACGGUGGAAUGUGUAGAUAUCGGGAAGAAUACCAAUGGCGAAGGCAGGUCUCUGGGCCGUCACUGACGCUGAGGAGCGAAAGCGUGGGGAGCGAACA
rnacentral:rRNA from 1 species